CUACCAUGCAAGUCCAGCGGAAACGAUGAAGUGCUUGCACUUCACGCGUCGAGCGGCGGACGGGUGAGUAACGCGUGAGAAUCUGCCCAUCAGUGGGGGAUAACUCGGGGAAACUCGAGCUAAUACCGCAUACGUCCUACGGGACAAAGCAGGGGACCUUUUGGCCUUGCGCUGAUGGAUGAGCUCGCGUCGGAUUAGCUUGUUGGUGAGGUAAAGGCUCACCAAGGCGACGAUCCGUAGCUGGUCUGAGAGGAUGAUCAGCCACACCGGGACUGAGACACGGCCCGGACUCCUACGGGAGGCAGCAGUGGGGAAUCUUGGACAAUGGGGGCAACCCUGAUCCAGCCAUGCCGCGUGUGUGAAGAAGGCCUUCGGGUUGUAAAGCACUUUCAGUAGGGAGGAAGGCUUUGGGCUAAUACCCUGAAGUACUUGACGUUACCUACAGAAGAAGCACCGGCUAAUUUCGUGCCAGCAGCCGCGGUAAUACGAAAGGUGCAAGCGUUAAUCGGAAUUACUGGGCGUAAAGCGCGCGUAGGCGGUGUGUUAAGUCGGAUG
rnacentral:rRNA from 1 species